rnacentral:SRP_RNA from 1 species
GCCGGGCACAAUGGCGCGUGCCUGUAUAGUUCCAGCUACUUGGGAGGCUGAGGUGGAGGAUCUCUUGAGUCCAGGAGUUCUGGGUUGUAGUGCGCUAUGCUGAUCGGGUGUCCGCACUAAGUUCAGCAUCAAUAUGGUGACCUCUUGGGAGCGGGGGACCACCAGGUUUCCUAAGGAGGGGUGAGCCGGCCCAGGUCAGAAAUGGAGCAGGUCAAAACUCCCGUGCUGAUCCGUAGUGGGCUUGCGCCUGUGAAUAGCCACUGCACUCCAGCCUGGGCAACAAAGUGAGACCCUGUCUAA